rnacentral:lncRNA from 10 species
ACAGAGACAUGAUUUAAGGAAGUAAGGCUUAAGAACUAAUAGAUUUAGUUUUUUAUUGUGAGGACUUAUUGCUCAAAAAUAAACAACAUAUCCUCCAGAAUAUUGCAUAAUACCUUAAAAAAUGAAGUAUCGGAAAUCAUGUGGGAUCAACAAACAGCUCAGGUUGAGAAGAAAAUGAUAAUUGUAUAAACAAAGAAGAAAUAAGUAUUUAUGUAUGAACAUUCCCAAGGUUUGUCAAAAUGUCAAUUAUAGUGUAUUCCUAUAUAUAUUUCAAAAUGUGGUUGUGAAAAAUAUCGUCAUGG